GAUGAACGCUAGCGGCAGGCUUAACACAUGCAAGUCGAGGGGUAUUUAUCUUCGGAUAGAGAGACCGGCGCACGGGUGCGUAACGCGUAUGCAAUCUACCUUUUACAGAGGGAUAGCCCAGAGAAAUUUGGAUUAAUACCUCAUAGUAUAUAGACUCGGCAUCGAGAUUAUAUUAAAGUCACAACGGUAAAAGAUGAGCAUGCGUCCCAUUAGCUAGUUGGUAAGGUAACGGCUUACCAAGGCUACGAUGGGUAGGGGUCCUGAGAGGGAGAUCCCCCACACUGGUACUGAGACACGGACCAGACUCCUACGGGAGGCAGCAGUGAGGAAUAUUGGACAAUGGGCGCAAGCCUGAUCCAGCCAUGCCGCGUGCAGGAUGACGGUCCUAUGGAUUGUAAACUGCUUUUAGACGAGAAGAAACACUGCUACGUGUAGCAGCUUGACGGUAUCGUAAGAAUAAGGAUCGGCUAACUCCGUG
rnacentral:rRNA from 1 species